rnacentral:tRNA from 1 species
GGCAAUACAGCUCAGAGGUAGAGUGUAUGCCUAGCAAUGUACAAGGCCAUGGGUUCAAACCCCAGCAUUGCCC